GAAACCAGGAGAAGGUAGGAGAGCAAGAUCCAUGCAUUUGUGCUUCAGACAUCUCAUUGCUGGAUUAUUACAACUGAUGGAACUUUACAGCAGCAAUGAGCCUCUCCAUGCACCCUUCCUGGCCGCCUCCUGCCCUGAUGCCUGGGUGUGUGCUGAACACAUCUGCCUUCCCAGUAGACACUGACCGAGCCUCUGAAGAACAAGUUUUUCCCUUCUUGUGUCCCAGGCUUGCUGAAGGGCGUGGCAUUUAAAUGUCUGUAUUUACUUGAAUCGCACAUUAUUGAAUCGGAUAAAACUGAAAGAUUUUCAGGAGAAGACAAUGUCUAACUAUUGACAGACAAACUUGUACGUCUACUUGCAACUACCCACACCUGGGAGCUCGUUAAGAGCACCAAACCUUGGGUUCCAUCCCAAAACUACUGGAUCAAAAUCUGCAUAUUUAACAAGAUCUCCAGGGCCUGACUCUAGAACUUCCAAUCAGAAUCUUUGAGAUGGUCCAGAAACGCACGUUUUUAAUGAGUUCUCCUCCAUGUAAAGUUCACAUCAGUGCUGAAGAGAUUCUGCAGCCAUAAAGGUGGAUGUUUCCAUGAGUGUUUGGGACACCAACUCAUCCUCAUUAGACAUUAGAUCCAUGCUGGGAAUCCUCAGGUCAGCAAUUUGAACCAGCCCCAGAUCCACCGAAGCUGCAGUCGGAAGAACAAGACACAGAGAAGGAGUGGCAAGAACAAGAAAGCUUCCGAGAGUGCAAGCGUUUUUUUUUUCUUUAUCGGAUUCGACGCUCUGGAGAAAAUUAAACAGUGGAUGUUGGCAGCUUCUCCAAAUAAGGCAUGAAUCAAGAAUGUACUCUCAACGUGAAAUAGCAAGCCAAAGAUUGAUUAUAUCUACUUAAGUCUAUGAUAAAAAUGGAC
rnacentral:lncRNA from 1 species